rnacentral:rRNA from 1 species
GCUAGUUGGUGGGGUAAAGGCCUACCAAGGCGACGAUCUGUAGCGGGUCUGAGAGGAUGAUCCGCCACACUGGGACGAGACACGGCCCAGACUCCUACGGGAGGCAGCAGUGGGGAAUAUUGGACAAUGGCGCAAGCCUGAUCCAGCCAUGCCGCGUGUGUGAAGAAGGCCUUAUGGUUGUAAAGCACUUUAAGCGAGGAGGAGGCUACUUUAGUUAAUACCUAGAGAUAGUGGACGUUACUCGCAGAAUAAGCACCGGCUAACUCUGUGCCAGCAGCCGCGGUAAUACAGAGGGUGCAAGCGUUAAUCGGAUUUACUGGGCGUAAAGCGCGCGUAGGCGGCUAAUUAAGUCAAAUUGAAAUCCCCGAGCUUAACUGGGAAUUGCAUUCGAUACUGGUUAGCUAGAGUGUGGGAGAGGAUGGUAGAAUUCCAGGUGUAGCGGUGAAAUGCGUAGAGAUCUGGAGGAAUACCGAUGGCGAAGGCAGCCAUCUGGCCUAACACUGACGCUGAGGUGCGAAAGCAUGGGGAGCAAACAGGAUUAGAUACCCUGGUAGUCCAUGCCGUAAACGAUGUCUACUAGCCGUUGGGGCCUUUGAGGCUUUAGUGGCGCAGCUAACGCGAUAAGUAGACCGCCUGGGGAGUACGGUCGCAAGACUAAAACUCAAAUGAAUUGACGGGGGCCCGCACAAGCGGUGGAGCAUGUGGUUUAAUUCGAUGCAACGCGAAGAACCUUACUGGCCUUGACAUAGUAAGAACUUUCCAGAGAUGGAUUGUGCCUUCGGGAACUUACAUACAGGUGCUGCAUGGCUGUCGUCAGCUCGUGUCGUGAGAUGUUGGGUUAAGUCCCGCAACGAGCGCAACCCUUUUCCUUAUUUGCCAGCGAGUAAUGUCGGGAACUUUAAGGAUACUGCCAGUGACAAACUGGAGGAAGGCGGGGACGACGUCAAGUCAUCAUGGCCCUUACGGCCAGGGCUACACACGUGCUACAAUGGUCGGUACAAAGGGUUGCUACCUAGCGAUAGGAUGCUAAUCUCAAAAGCCGAUCGUAGUCCGGAUUGGAGUCUGCAACUCGACUCCAUGAAGUCGGAAUCGCUAGUAAUCGCGGAUCAGAAUGCCGCGGUGAAUACGUUCCCGGGCCUUGUACACACCGCCCGUCACACCAUGGGAGUUUGUUGCACCAGAA